GCGGGAUUGGCGAAAUGGUAGACGCAGCGGCUUUAGGUGCCGCCGCCGCAAGGCGUGAGGGUUCGAGUCCCUUGUCCCGCA
rnacentral:tRNA from 1 species